AGAAUUCGGGAGAUACCGCAUUGACGCGGAGCCGAAGGGGCGCAAGGUGAUAAACUCUCAGGCAAAAGGACUGAAUUUG
rnacentral:ncRNA from 1 species